GACCGCGUAGCUCAGUUGGCAGAGCAUUGGGCUAGUAUUCCAAAGGUCGUAGGUUCGAUUCCCACUGUGGCCG
rnacentral:tRNA from 1 species